UACGAAGGGGGCUAGCGUUGUUCGGAUUUACUGGGCGUAAAGCGCACGUAGGCGGAUCGUUAAGUCAGGGGUGAAAUCCUGGAGCUCAACUCCAGAACUGCCUUUGAUACUGGCGAUCUUGAGUCCGGAAGAGGUGAGUGGAACUCCUGAGUGUAGGUGGUGAAUUCGUAGAUAUUAGGAAGAACACCAGUGGCGAAGGCGGCUCACUGGUCCGGUAUGACGCUGAGGUGCGAAAGCGUGGGAGCAACAGGG
rnacentral:rRNA from 1 species